GUCGGUUUGUCCACAAGUUCAAGUAUGGUCUGGCUGUGACAUGAGAACAUGGCCUGUAGCCUUCCAGUGUUAACUCUGUCCACACUGGUGAACCCUGAAUGCUGAGGAUUUGUUUGCGGGAAUGGAUUAGGAUUACAAGAAUAGUCAAAUAAUGCACCAUUUGAUGUGCCUAUCUAGAGUUAUAACCAUUUCCAAAAUAUAUAGUCAGGGCACGGCAAUAUAUGCCUCAGGAGUCUGGGCAAGCUUUGUCCUUACCUACGUUAGAAAGGUAUGUGGAGGUAUGUCUAUAUUCACACAUGUUAUACACAUACAUAUACAUAUUUACAACUAUCGCUAUAUUACUAAUGAUUAUUGAUAACUUAGCCGUUAAGCUUAAUUAAAUAUAACCUGACCUUGUAUUGAUUACAUAGAAACUCUUGUUAUUGAGCUAUGCUAUAUGACAUGUAUUGCUGAUUAGAUGACUAGUGACCUUUUUUUUAUUUUUAUUGCUUCUGUGAGGGUCAUUCCGACAGCCUUGAGUAAGUUUGGCCAGGCUCUGUGGUCAUAGGAGGAAAAAAACAAAAAAGAAACAAAAAACUUUCUUUGCACAAGCAAGUGUAUGAUCAACAUCCAAGAGAAAAAAGGCAGUGUCUUCUGAAAGGGCUGUUGAAAUACAGGAUAUCUUUACUUACUUGUGGAGACCACGUAGCUAGCUGGCAGCCCUUCUCAACCGCUGAAUCAGCUCCUGUCAGUUGAUCACAUGCUGUAUGACACCAUAGAGUUUGGCUGCUUCUGGAAUGGCCCAGGUGUAUGCUUCACUGAGGGAUGUAUUACUACUACUAUUAUUAUGAUGAUGACUAUGAUAAUGAUUGCUCUAUUAUGACUAUUUCUAUUCUCUUAUAUGCCAUUGAUAUACGUAUACGUUAAUUGCGAUGUAUAACUCUCUCUUUAUAUAUAUAAAUAUUAUGUAUCCAUGUAUGAAUAUUAUACUUAAUGGUAAAUAGAUGUCCAUGUAUGCUAAGUGGGCUGUCCAUAAAGGUACUGAUAGAAGGAGAAGGGGGCACCUGGGAAAAUUUGUUGGCAGAGUGAGUGACGGUAUCGGUUGCUUCAUUAUGCCAGUUUUCUGUGUGACUUCCCCAUCACUGUUGCACAAUGAGCUUAGGUUGAUUGGGCAGUAGGCAUUUCAUAGGAUAAUUAGAAGUUACAGAAGUAUACAUGUUAUAAACUUUCCGGAAAGACGAACCCAUUUAGAUUCUUGACGAAAAAGGCUUAGGGCGCUAGUUUUGAUUCCGUCGAUCGGUCAGUCAAUCAAGAGGUGGGAAGUUUGAAGAGUUCCCUGUCCCCCUGCCCCAAGUACUCUGUGAUGAUGUAAUAAUGCAACUUCCCAGUACCUGAGUUGCAUAAGCUGCCCAUGACCGCACACAAAGCAUACAUUGAUAUUUAUGUUUGUCUGCAUAGCGCCUUAAAAGAUAUAUACAUAUACAAUUAUAAAAUGCCCCUAACAUAUAUAAUCUUACUCUUCCAAUAUAUGAUAUAAUGAUAUAUAUAUAUAUAUAUAUAUACACUUAGAAACUCAUAUAAGGAAAAUAGGUAACAGGUGAUGGAUGUGUUUGUAGUGAUUUUCUUUCUCUCUGGUUGUUUGCAGAGUGUGGUUGUCUGUUACGUGCACAGCCUCUCUCCUAGCCUCCCCUUAAAAACUCUAUCCUAAUUUAGACCAUCAUGAACUAGGAAGGAAUGAGGGAGGCAGAGCAGUGCGUCAGACCAUGGUCUCUUUCAGUUUAUGUUCCAAGCUGGAGUGGUUAUCCCUCCCUUUUCAUGGAUGAAAGGCCUGCUCCACACGUUUGCAAACAGUCAUAUCAGAGGACUAGGAUUUCUGACCACGGCUGAGAGAGAAAGAGAGCGAGAGCGAGAGAGCUUGGAGAAAAGAUGAAGAAUCACUCCCCACGACCCUGUCCGUCCCUUCCCAGUUUAUCUUCACAACGCAUUCUGAACAUGGAACUAGAAUCUUUUGGGUUCUUUUGGAGAUUAAGAUCACGCGUGGUUAGAUGAUUUAUGUGUUCAGCUCUUUCAGCUAAAGAAAGGAGUUUUUUUUUUUUUUUUUUUUUUUUUUUUUUGUAAAUCAGCCCACUCAACACACUGGUAAGAUUACUCACCCACUGUCAUGUAAUUUCCUUAACAGGGUGUUCAGUGUAUAAUUUCAACAAGUCCCCUUCAGUAGGUUAUGUUUCAACCAUGUUCAGAAGAAUAACAGUGGAGAAACUCACCUAGUUUUAUUACAAUUUUUUUUCUUCAGUGUCUUGGUUGGCUGAAAAGAAUCAGGGUUUUCAAAAAGGUGAAAAACAAUGCCUCUUUUUGUACUGUGUUUUUACAUUUGUUUGUUUUUCAUUUCUCCUUUUUUCCCUGGUUGGAAGAGAAGUAUGAUCACAUUGGACCAAAUCUCAUGGAAGUGUUUAACAAUAAAGAGAUUGUUUUAGAAAAAAAAA
ensembl:lncRNA